rnacentral:rRNA from 1 species
UACGGGAGGCAGCAGUGGGGAAUAUUGCACAAUGGGCGAAAGCCUGAUGCAGCUAUGCCGCGUGUAUGAAGAAGGCCUUAGGGUUGUAAAGUACUUUCAUCGGGGAGGAAAAAACAAAACUAAUAAUUUUAUUUCUUGACGUUACCCGAAAAAGAAGCACCGGCUAACUCCGUGCCAGCAGCCGCGGUAAUACGGAGGGUGCUAGCGUUAAUCAGAAUUACUGGGCGUAAAGAGCACGUAGGUGGUUUUUUUAAAGUCAGAUGUGAAAUCCCUGGGCUUAACCUAGGAACUGCAUUUUGAAACUGAAAUACUAGAGUAUCGUAGAGGGAGGUAGAAUUCUAGGUGUAGCGGUGAAAUGCGUAGAUAUCUGGAGGAAUACCUGUGGCGAAAGCGGCCUCCUAAACGAAUACUGACACUGAGGUGCGAAAGCGUGGGGAGCAAACAGGGAUUAGAUACCCUCUGAGACUACCAAGGCACAACAAGGGGAUAGG